GCGACCCCAGGUCAGGCGGGACUACCCGCUGAAUUUAAGCAUAUAAAUAAGCGG
rnacentral:rRNA from 7 species